CCUACGGGUGGCAGCAGUGGGGAAUAUUGGGCAAUGGGCGCAAGCCUGACCCAGCAACGCCGCGUGAAGGAAGAAGGCUUUCGGGUUGUAAAAUUCUUUUUAGGGGGAAGAGCAGAAGACGGUACCCCUUGAAUAAGCCACGGCUAACUACGUGCCAGCAGCCGCGGUAAUACGUAGGUGGCAAGCGUUGUCCGGAUUUACUGGGUGUAAAGGGCGUGCAGCCGGGGAGACAAGUCAGAUGUGAAAUCCACGGGCUCAACCCGUGAACUGCAUUUGAAACUGUUUCCCUUGAGUGUCGGAGAGGUAAUCGGAAUUCCUUGUGUAGCGGUGAAAUGCGUAGAUAUAAGGAAGAACACCAGUGGCGAAGGCGGAUUACUAGACGAUAACUGACGGUGAGGCGCGAAAGCGUGGGGAGCAAACAGGAUUAGAUACCCCUGUAGUC
rnacentral:rRNA from 1 species